rnacentral:lncRNA from 1 species
CUGUUUCAUGGUAAAUUCUUAAAUCAUGCGAGUUCAUUUCAGGUUUUGUCCUUCUCGAAUAAACCUUUGUGAUAGGUGCCUUGAACCUCUUGUCCUUGAUCUCUAGGGACUUCUGUAGAGUUCAAUAAAUCUUUGUUCAACUGGUAGAGAUUUAGAACAUCAAGGUAGAGAUUUAGAACCGCUUGAUGUAAAAGCUUAACCCAUCAAAGAAGUCCAUAUGUAUGUCAUUUAAAUCUAUCUUCAAUAUUUUUGUUCUUAUUCAAUUAGUUAAAACCAAACUCAUUGGACCUUACACAAACGCAUGUAAGGAAUC